GUUCGGCAAUUGAUAUUUUUUCUAAUUCAGGAUCAAAUUAAAUACUUUAAUUCAACCAAACCUAUAAGUCAAGAUUGACAUCUAAUAACAUAUUAUAAUUAGCCAAAAGAUAUAAAAUUUGAUGAAAAUACCAAAUAUACCUUCAGUAGUAAGUUACUAUAUAAUUUAAUUUUUUUUAUCGUCCCUGCAUCUUAAAUAUAUUCAUGAGUAUGGAAUCAUGUCAAACUCAAAUACAUAUUUAUAUCGAUUCUGCAUCAAUC
rnacentral:lncRNA from 1 species